CUCGAACUAUUUUUGUCCACAGAUACGGAUUCCAGUCCUCGAUAACACUCCUCUUCAGCCCUUCCUCGACACACUCCACUUCAGCCCUUAAUUUCCAGCCGACUCCACUCCAGGUAAGUUUAAAGCAAGAGCUAGGCAGUUGACGUGCAGGGACUUUCUGGCUCUGGGGGGGGGGGGUGGACUUCAAGACCCAAGGCUGAGCUGUUAGCGUGCAGGGGUUCUAGCUCUCAGGUAAGUACAAAGUUCAAUACACAGGUGGGUAUUCACAGGGCUGGGCUGUUAGCGUGCAGGGGUUCUAGCUCCCAGGUAAGUACAGCGUUCAAUACACAGGUGGGUAUUCACAGGGCUGGGCUGUUAGUGUGCAGGGGUUCUAGCUCACAGGUAAGUACAAAGUUCAAUACACAGGUGGGUAUUCACAGGGCUGGGCUGUUAGCGUGCAGGGGUUCUAGCUCCCAGGUAAGUACAGAAUUCAAUACACAGGUGAGCAUUCACAGGGCUGGGCUGUUAACUGGCUACUCACCACUGAAGAUAUUCAGAGGUCGGUAUUCCAAGCAGAUACGGGUUUGGUCGAUGACUGACGGCUGGUGGGCCUUACAGGUGAGACUGCAAACAAUACUGGGCUUCCCGCCCAGCUUGGCAAGGGGGCACACGGGGGAGGAUCGGCUGUUGUCCUUCGCUUCCCUCGUCAAAGAGACAGCACAGACGACACGCACAAGGCCGGUGGUUGCUGACAAGGCCAAUGACACAACGUCACGUGGAUGAAA
ensembl:lncRNA